GUAUUGUAUUGCGUUAAACGCGGCAUACAUUCCAUAAGACUUUAUUGUGGUGUGUGUGUGUAAAGACGUAGGACCACAGCAAGGGGACAGAGUCUCCAAGGCCAUAGAACUACAGAGGGUGCACAGGUGUGAGUGGAUGUGUAAACAGAGCGUGCACAUGCCCCCAUACAGGGACCAGCAACAACUCUUGUUGACAAUUCGGUAAUGAUCCUUCCGCAGGUUCACCUACGGAAA
rnacentral:misc_RNA from 1 species